UGAAUCAUACGCAACGUACACCGGCCGAAAGUUCAGUCGUCCACGAGAGCUCGGAGAGUGGUCACGUCUCAUCGGGAAGCGACGCGCCGAUAACGAUACUUCGCGAUCUAUUGUGUACUUAUACCUUGCCAAACGCAAACGCAAACUGUUGAAUAAGUAAAAUGGGAAAGCUUAAGGAAAAAAAUUUUAUGAAGAAAGUUGGCGCUAAUUUACGAAAAAAAAAAUGUUCUCGGAAAAAGAGCAAGUCCGGAUGGUAUUGUAGAAGAGGACAAAUUUGUGGAAAUUAACUGUCCUUAUUCAGCCAGAGACAUGAGUGUUGACGAUGGCAUAAGAGAAAAGAAAAUUAUUUUUUGGAAAAGAGACAAGGAAGGUAAUAUCAAUCUAAAUAAAAAUCAUGAUUGGUACUUCCAAGCACAAGGACAACUUCACAUUACACAAAGAAAAACAUGUAUAUUUGCCGUUUGGACUGAAGUAGACAUGAAGGUUGAACUAAUUGAGGAAGAUAAAGAAUUUUGGUGUAAAAUGGAAGAGAAAUUGAAAGCUUUUUAUUUUGAUUGCUUACUGCCUGAAAUUCUUGAUUCUCGGUUAGAUAGGCAAAUGGAUAUCAGGGAACCUAAAUAUAUUCUUGAUGCAAUCAAUCAAAAAGAUAAACGAAAAUUAUCGUCAUAAAUCACAUGAACACAUUCUUAAAUUAUGCACCAACAUUCGUAAGUUAAGUUCAGUCUUCAGUCCGAGAUGCAAAUGUGCAUUUUUUUUGUAUAACCUAUCUUUGUGGUUGGAAAUAACUAUUAUAUUUUUUGAAUGAGGUUAAUACAUUCUUGUGUCUUUUACAGUUUCUUUUUAUGUAUUCUCACACAAAUUUUGGUCAGCUGAUGACAAAUUUGGAAAAUCAACAUUAUUUUUUCUGAAAUUUAUUAAUGCCUUUGAUUUCUCAAUUUUUAUUAAAAAAAACUACAACUCUUCGGUACAACCUGUAUAAUAAAUUAACCACGUUUCUGCGCUUUAAGUAUGUUUUUGUAAAAUUCUUAUCAAGUUGUUUUACGUCAGGUUAAAUUAAAGUUUUUUUUAUUACAGAUUGGUUUUAUUACAACAACCUACCCAUAUAUCUUACCUACUUACUCACCUACCAAACCGUUCGUUCGUACGUUCAGCGGUUAAAGAUCUACCCUUUUAAACUUGAAUAUAGUUAUCGGCACGGCACGGUUCUCGGCGGAAGAGUGGGGAUCGCUUUGCGCACUGUACACAUAAGGCAAAAAACCAACAAAUCGCUUCUGCGCAGGUGAAGGUCAUAGCCCAAUAUCCGUGCCGAUAACUGUAUCCUAUUACAGUAACUUGGGAGGUGAUUUUCGAAAAAUCCAAAAACUUCGUCUUUUUUUCAUCAUAUCAUUCAAAUCCGUUCAGUAGUUUUCGUGUGAAAGAGUAACAAAAAUUCAUCCAAACAAACUUUCACGUUCAUAAUAUUAACAGGAUUAGUUUUAUUAAUCGGAUUUAUGUACCUACACAGAACCGUCAAAAUAUUCAUUAUUCGUCUUUUCAAUUCACUCAAUACACUCAAAAUUUAAAAACUCUAAGUUACACUCAGUCACUCAAAUUCUAAAAAUUCUGACUUACUCACUUCUGCCAUGCAACGCAAGCGGCCACCGAGCGAACUUGUCGUUGUGUGCGUAACGACGCACACAACUAGCGCGCCGCAGUAAAUACCUAUUUUCCGCGCGCUGUGUUCGCUCGGCGCAGUCUUAAUUAGAUUAAUCUAUACUUUUCACUUUAUCUGGUAGUAGUCAGCGAUUCAAAUGUUUUAACCAUAAAUCGCGACAUUAAGUCUACAUCUACAAUCUUUAUCUUAUGCGUGUCGCAUAUUUUAUGCAACACGAUUUUUUGAGGAGCCGGCUGUUAAACAUAUACAAUGAAAGACCAAAAUACAUAUUUCGAAGGCGAUUUCCUUAUAAUUUAUGAAAAUAUAGAGUGUACACUCUGCAGAAAUGUUUAAAUAACGUUAUUAGUUUUAACUUAAUUAUAGUGAUAGGUUACGUAAGAUGUAAUCAUAAAUAAUCUACCCUGUCGAUUAGAUUUGUUUUUUUAUUAGAUGCAAGUUCCAACACGGUAUGCGUGUUUCAACCUUUUAUCGAUAUUUAUAACCAAUAAGCAUCUGUCAACUGUAUCAACUGAUUGUACAUUUUUGUUUGCCUUCAAGUAAGAUUGAUGUGAUUACAAUUUGUGUGUACCAUAUUCUAGUGUAGCUACGUGCCGCAUUUGAAAGAGUUUUAUUAUUUAAAUUAAGUGAUCGUUGUAUAGUUGUUCGAUAAAAUGUAAAAAAGUAUCUGGAUAAAUGGCACAUCGUAUCUUAUUUUUUGUUUUAUUAUAUUUUUAUGAGCACUCUACUGUUACCUUUUGGUAACGUAAUGAUCCCCUAAAUAAUCUUAUAUAUAAAAAUGAAUUGCUGUUCGUUAGUCUCACUAAAACUCCGGAAUGGCUGGACCGAUUUGGCUUAUUUUGGUUUUAAAAUGUUUGUAGAGGUCCAGGGAAGGUUUAAACGAUACGAAGUUCGGGGGGUCAGCUAGUAUAAACAUAAAUUAUUUUUAUAGCAAGGCUAAUCAACUUUAUUUUUAAGUGACUUUGUAUUUUAUGACGACCUCGAUGGCGCAAUGUUCAAUGUAUAACAGUAAAAUAUUCCAGGAAACCAAAGUCUACCUGGAUUUAGAUUAAAGCAUGAAUACUACUGUUCUAACUUUUUAAUGCCUGAAAUGGGUAGCUACCGAUAUCGAAGCAUACCCGUGGUAAGUAAAAGUAUAGUAAGUGUAGUAGAACUAAGAAUAAUAUUGUCAAUACAGGGUUACAGUUAAAGUAGCACCACAGUCUAUGAAAUAUAAGUAGGCAAGUAAAGAAAAAUUACAAAGCAUAGCUUUCAGCCAGUAGAUUUAGUAUUUUGAGUAAGGUCAAUUAUAUCUCCGGAAAAUAACAAGACUCGUAAGUUGUUGAUGCGGUAUAUUUACACGGUAUGUAAUUACUAUAAUAUUAAUAACUUAAUAUUCAAAAAUUAACCUAUUAUCUCUUAAAAUAAGAAUUUUAUUAAGUUAAGUAUUGGAUAAUGCUAGUUACGAAAACAUUAUAUUAAGUAUUGGAAUCUAAGUUCCCUGUGGACUCCGGUAGAGCGAGGUAAGGACAGGAUUGCAUGAACUUUUUGACUUUUACUAAUACUUUGGGGUUUCUGGUUUAUUUGUGUUAAGCGACAUUUUGAAACUAUAAAAAUGUCACCAUAGAAUUAUCUAUGGUUCAUUUUUAUAAGUUUAGAUUUGUCGCUUGACACGAAUAGACUGGCAAUCCUAAACAUGUGUAUUUUAGGUUGGAAGAAAGAGGAAGUUUAUUUUGCGGCCUGUGCCGCCUCGAGUGGCCUAUGUGGAAACCCCGGACUCUCUUAGGGUUCAUCCAUUUCAGUGUUUGAAGAACUAUAAACGCAAACGUUCGGCGCCAUCUUGCACGGAGGUUAGCAGCUCUAAUGCAGAGGUCAGCAGCUCUAAUGCAAAGGUCAGCAGCUCUAAUACAGAGGUUACCAGCUCAGAGCCUCGGGUUUCCAUCAGCGUAGACAUUUGCUCCGCAGACGGAAAUGUUAAGCCAAAUGAUGAGGCCGCGGUAUCUCUUUCGGACAACCCGCAGCCCUCGCAGGCACCCGCAGCCCUCGCAGGAAGCCCGCAGUCCCGGCAGACAACCAGCAGCCCCGACGGAGUAAGAGAAGUCUUAGAUCGAAUUCUCGAGAUAUACCUCGAAGCGCGUCUGCUUUAUGGCGCAGCUGAAAUAAUGCACCUUUGUUAUUCUAUGGAUAGUCUCUUAAAAUAGCGAUAGAAUUCAGCGAGGUACCUAUAUUACAGCUAUAUGAUUAUUUGAAACU